UGUGACAUAAUUAAGGAUUUAGGCUCUUGGCACAUGCCAGACAGGAUGAUGAGUGGCCUUUGUGGUUUUGUCAGGAGGUGUUCUGUGUUUGUGUUUGGCACAACUAGCCAAAUACAGGUUAAAGCCAGCUGUUCUGUAAAGCCAUCAGAUGUUUGUUGGAGAACAUCAGUGAACAUCCUACAGAGCUCUGUUCCAUCCAUCACCUGAACAUUUAUAGAGGAUGGGCCAACUGUAAACCUUCCAGGACAUGGACGUCCACCCGAACUGACAGCAGGACAAGGACAGCAUUAAUCAGAGGUGCAGCCAAGAGACCCAUUGUGGUUCUGGGGGAGAUGCAGAGAUGCACAGCUGAGGAGGAAUCUCUGCAGUUGUCAGUAUGCAGACCGGAAAUGGGUUGAAGAGAGGGGGAAGACGUGCAACACAGGUUGUCAGGACUUGAACCAGGGACAUCUGCGUUGAGGAAUGAAGUCUCCGUAUGUACCGCUACGCAAUGUGCCACGCCCAUAGGUGUAAUUUUUAAUUGAUCACGUCCCACCUCUACACUCAACAAAUCGGACCUUUAUGGAAGAGUGGCAGGAAUAAAGCCACUGAAUUGAACUUUGAUGCAAAGCUUUAGUAUGUGAGAUGGAAAACUAACACGGCAUAUCACUCAUAAUCAACUAAACUUGCCUUCAUAACAAGGAUCAAAUUGGAAUGUCUGGAAUUGGCUUUAAAUCUGUCUGUAACAUUGAAUUGAAUUGACUUUUUUUGUAAAAUGACUUGUGAUGAUAUUUGUUGUGAAUUGGUGGUAAAUAAACUGAGUUGAAUUUUGA